GACGAACGCUGGCGGCGUGCCUAAUACAUGCCAGUUGAGCGCUGAAGGUUGGUACUUGUACCAACUGGAUGAGCAGCGAACGGGUGAGUAACGCGUGGGGAAUCUGCCUUUGAGCGGGGGACAACAUUUGGAAACGAAUGCUAAUACCGCAUAAAAACUUUAAACACAAGUUUUAAGUUUGAAAGAUGCAAUUGCAUCACUCAAAGAUGAUCCCGCGUUGUAUUAGCUAGUUGGUGAGGUAGAGGCUCACCAAGGCGAUGAUACAUAGCCGACCUGAGAGGGUGAUCGGCCACAUUGGGACUGAGACACGGCCCAAACUCCUACGGGAGGCAGCAGUAGGGAAUCUUCGGCAAUGGACGAAAGUCUGACCGAGCAACGCCGCGGGAGUGAAGAAGGUUUUCGGAUCGUAAAACUCUGUUGGUAGAGAAGAGCGUUGGUGAGAGUGGAAAGCUCAUCAAGUGACGGUAACUACCCAGAAAGGGACGGCUAACUACGUG
rnacentral:rRNA from 1 species